GCAUAAAAUCAAUAGUGAUGAGGGCUGUUCUAUAUCUAUACAUGGAGAGUCGCAGGUCAGGACUUCUAAGACAGCUCCAGUCACCCAGAAGAUCCCUCUGUAGAAUGCAUCUGACCCAGGGUUUGUCCAGAGCACCCAUCCUAAGCUAAGGAGUACUACCACUUUCAGGGACAUUGUGGGUCUCACAUUAAGUUUUUAUGAAUUGUUUUACUUUCUCAUUCACCAGCCUGCAAAUUGCUUACUGCCCUCUGUUCUGUUUUAUGAUCUUUAGUAAAGAUGUUUUUUCUUCCAUUGCUUUAUUUUUUUUUAAUUUCACUCUCUGGAUGGUUUGAUACAAAAGUUGUGAUCUAUCAUCAUGGCGAGAUGAACAGAUAUGGUGGGGUCCCCCAAAUUUUCUGUGCUUUGAAAAGCAUAUACUGUAAUAAUGUCAGAAAAAUCACUCUUUGUCCAAUAAUGGCUUAUUUUAUACUACUGAGCAAGGCAAUGAAAGAAAGUUUGCAUAACUUUGUGGUUCCAGUUUG